rnacentral:rRNA from 1 species
GACGAACGCUGGCGGCGUGCUUAACACGUGCAAGUCGAACGGAAAGGCCCUGCUUUUGUGGGGUGCUCGAGUGGCGAACGGGUGAGUAACACGUGAGUAACCUGCCCUUGACUUUGGGAUAACUUCAGGAAACUGGGGCUAAUACCGGAUAGGAGCUCCUGCUGCAUGGUGGGGGUUGGAAAGUUUCGGCGGUUGGGGAUGGACUCGCGGCUUAUCAGCUUGUUGGUGGGGUAGUGGCUUACCAAGGCUUUGACGGGUAGCCGGCCUGAGAGGGUGACCGGCCACAUUGGGACUGAGAUACGGCGCAGACUCCUACGGGAGGCAGCAGUGGGGAAUAUUGCACAAUGGGCGGAAGCCCGAUGCAGCAACGCCGCGUGCGGGAUGACGGCCUUCGGGUUGUAAACCGCCUUCGCCUGUGACGAAGCGUGAGUGACGGUAAUGGGUAAAGAAGCACCGGCUAACUACGUG